GGCACCAUAGCUAAAUGGCAAAGCAUUGGUCUGCAACACCUUGACUGCCGGUUCGAGUCCGGUUGGUGCCU
rnacentral:tRNA from 1 species